UUAAAAUAUGUGUGUAUGAGUGUGUCUUUCUCUAAAUAUUAUUUAGCUACACACACACACACACACACACACACACACACACACACAUA
rnacentral:pre_miRNA from 12 species